UACGAAGGGGGCUAGCGUUGCUCGGAAUCACUGGGCGUAAAGGGUGCGUAGGCGGGUCUUUAAGUCAGGGGUGAAAUCCUGGAGCUCAACUCCAGAACUGCCUUUGAUACUGAAGAUCUUGAGUUCGGGAGAGGUGAGUGGAACUGCGAGUGUAGAGGUGAAAUUCGUAGAUAUUCGCAAGAACACCAGUGGCGAAGGCGGCUCACUGGCCCGGGUACUGACGCUGAGGUGCGAAAGCGUGGGGAGCAAACAGGG
rnacentral:rRNA from 1 species